CAGCAGCCGCGGUAAUACGUAGGGUGCAAGCGUUGUCCGGAAUCAUUGGGCGUAAAGCGCGCGUAGGUGGCCAUUUAAGUCCGCUGUGAAAGUCAAAGGCUCAACCUUUGAAAGCCGGUGGAUACUGGAUGGCUAGAGUACGGAAGAGGCGAGUGGAAUUCCUGGUGUAGCGGUGGAAUGCGCAGAUAUCAGGAGGAACACCAAUAGCGAAGGCAGCUCGCUGGGACGUUACUGACACUAAGGCACGAAAGCGUGGGGAGCAAACAGGAUUAGAUACCCCUGUAGUCCCUGUCUCUUAUAC
rnacentral:rRNA from 1 species